AUCACUUCAACCGGGUGUAAAUGGGAGCCCAGGAGCAGAUUGUGUCCCUAAGAUUCGGUGCAUUUAAUAUCAGACUGAAGAAAUUGCAAUCCCUAUAGCAAGGGCUGCUGGGUCAUCAUCUGGCUCCCAGUGUCUUCUGAAAUGAUUCAAGGAACUUCCUCCAGCCUUGGAAAUAAAUGCAGGCACUCCAGGAAAUCACACAAUUUGCUGGUCAAAGAAGUCUUGCUGGAUAGAACCAUCUCAGAAACCUCUCAGACGUAAAGAAGAGGCUGCUGAUUACCUACAUUUUAAGCAUGAAGAAUUCAUAAACACUAUUUCCUUCGUCUUGGAGCUGAUUCUCACUAAUUCAAAGCCGUGUCUCAUUUUUUUGUUUUUAUUUUAUUUCUAAACCUUCUAAAGUUUUUUAUAGUGCUUAUGAUUAAAGAGACUAUUUUAUAGAGGGUGUUUUUUUUAAUCAUUUGGUUACAUCUUUGACAGUAAAACUCAUUCCAUGCAACAACAAGUGAACGGCUGCAAGACAGAUUCAGAUCUAUCAAAGUGAUUGUAAAUGUAUAUGUUCCAGUAAAGCUAUAUAAAAUAAAUGCAUUAAAUUAA